GAGCUCAGGUGGGCUGAUGUGCAGCGCGGUCUGCUGUCUGUGGUUACACAGCGUCAGGUCAGCAUCGGCCCUCAGCAGCCCCUGCAACACCUGUUGAGCACACCGAUCAAACCGCAACUGAUCUCCAAGAGGAAACCUUCUCAUGUUACCAGGAAGUCAUUUUCAACAUGACUCCCAAAGGCGAAGAGGUCAGCCCGUCUCCGUUCUUCUUCUUCAUCAUCAGAGACCUCCAGCACAUCCAGGAUCUCCAUCUGUGGUCCUAAAACCACC